rnacentral:rRNA from 1 species
ACCCUAUUAUAAAAAAUGUAAAUAAAUUAUUAGGGUAGUAUUAGUUAUAUUCUUGAAAUUUAAAAAAUUUGGCGGUAUUUUAGUCUUUUCAGAGGAACCUGUCCUGUAAUUGAUAAUCCACGAUUAAUUUUACUUAAUUUACAAGUUUAUAUAUCAUCGUAGUUUGAAUAUCUUAAAAGGGGAAAAAUAUUCAUAAUUUAAAAUUAUAAAAAAAAUCAGAUCAAGGUGUAGCUUAUAAUUAAGCAAGAGAUGGGUUACAAUAAAGUUAUUUAUAUGGUUAUAAUAAUUAAAAUUAUUAUAUAAAGUGGAUUUGAAAGUAAUAUAUUUUAUUUAGUAUAUAUGAUUAAAGCUCUAAAAUAUG